AUGCUCACUUUGGCAGCACAUAUACGAAAAUUGAAACAAUGCAGAGAAGAUUGGCAUGGCCCCUGUGCAAAGAUGACAUGGAAAUCCAAGGACAUAUUUCCUUUGUAU
ensembl:snRNA U6 U6 spliceosomal RNA